rnacentral:lncRNA from 1 species
UUUUCAUCAAUAUAAAGUAGCAAGUUUCUUCCGGUUCAUACAUACAUACGUGAGUGUAGUGUGUGGUGAGGGGCCUGUAACCAACAAUUGGUAUCAGAGCCUGGGGCUCGUCGAGAAGCGGGUUUGAAGAUCGGAGGGAGCCUCCGCCGCCGGCGGGUGUGUCGGUCGGUGGAGGGCAGGCGUGAAAGAAGGGUGUAGCCGAGCCGGGAGAAAGAGAAAGAAGAAGAUGACCGUUGCCGGAAAUUGUUUUCUGGUGUGAGACCGAAAAGACCGGCGAGAAGAGACCGAAGCCGUAGUAGACUGAACGGCUUGAAAGAAAGACCGAAGAAAGAGACCGUCGUCGGAAAGGAGGUACCGGCGUAAGAAAGACCGUUUCCGGAGAAGAAGGAUUGAAGCCGUGAGAGAUCGAACGGCAUGACCGAGACCGAAAGAAGCUUUUCUUGAAGAAAGCUUAGACCGUAAGACCGAGAUUGUGAACCAAGACCGAGACCGAAGAGGUUCACAUCAGACCGAGAAGAAAGACCGAGUGAACAAAGACCGAAAGUGUUCACAUUAGACCGAGUCGUGAGCCGAAGACUGAAAAGGGUUCACGCUAGAAAGAGAAAGGGGAAGACGGGCCUACGUGGUUCGUGUAUCAAGAACCGACAUCAAGAUUAUGGGGGUGAAUGUUGGAAAAUCUUGAUGGGUCGGGUACGUGUCAACGGGUUGGAGCUGAACCGGGUCUAACCAAUAAGGAAAACGGUUCGUUUACGGAUCAUGGUUUGUUCGAAUGGGUGGUCCGGGUUACUUAUUUAUGCAUGUGCUAAUAUUGAACAAAAGGAAUAUACCCAUGAUUUAGAAGCUGCAUGCAAAGGAGAAAUGGUCAAGUUUUGACCGAGUUUCAUGCAAGUGGAACGUUGGAGUGGGUUGUUGUGAUUUAAUUUGGCAUGUGUUUUUUUGUUUGUUUUCUUUAUUAUAAAUAGGGUAAGAUAGAGUUCAGUUUUUGUACCCCAUAAUUUUCAUCAAUAUAAAGUAGCAAGUUUCUUCCGGUUCAUACAUACAUACGUGAGUGUAGUGUGUGGUGAGGGGCCUGUAACCAACAAGGAAGACUGAGGAUUAGAGAUAUCUCGGAGAGUGAACAGGUAAGAGACUAAGUGGGUAUCCCAGACGCAGAAAUUGGGGUUUCGUUGACGCGCAAACACAAGUUCGAUCAGUGUUUCAUCCGAGAGAAGGAAGAAACCAAUGACUGAAGGAUCAUAUAGGGAUGCCACUGGAUCACUGACCGACAAGUUGGAGAUCGAUAUGGAGAGGUUACCAUAACGUGUGAAUCUGAACUUCCCCAAGAGGAUCAAAGAUCGGUUAUCGGAUUGGAUCUUGAUAGAUUUGAUCGCCGCGGUGGACGGAUCAAUGAAAAGAAAGAGGAGAAGAACGGAGAUGACAGUUGUCCCGAAAACCUUCAUUCUUAAACCUGCUGGUUGGUUGAUGAUGGUUAAGACAAAGUGGACUAUGAUAUGCUAAUCGAUAUAUACAAGAUUAGCUGGGAUCUAUACGUGUUGGUCAAGUUUAUGGACGUUAUUUUGGAAUAAUUGACUUAUGUAUGUGUACUCUGUCGUCAUGUUCGUCUAGUUGACUUAUGGAAAUAAUACUUGGUCGUUAUUUUGGUAUAGUUGACUUACGUUGUGAAGGGGUUGAUGGGAGGGCGUUGAGCGACAUCUAG